rnacentral:tRNA from 1 species
CGUAGCUCAGUGGAUAGAGCAUCGGUUUCCUAAACCGCUGGUCGUAGGUUCGAAUCCUAUCG